rnacentral:rRNA from 1 species
UACAGAGGGGGCAAGCGUUGUUCGGAAUUACUGGGCGUAAAGGGCGCGUAGGCGGCCUUCUAAGUCGAACGUGAAAUCCCUGGGCUCAACCCAGGAACUGCGUCCGAUACUGGGAGGCUUGAAUCCGGGAGAGGGAUGCGGAAUUCCAGGUGUAGCGGUGAAAUGCGUAGAUAUCGUAAGGAAGACCAGUGGCGAAGGCGGGAUCGUCUGGACAGUUCCGUGACGCUGAGGCACGGAAGGC